GACGCAGCGACGCCGCGUGAAGGAUGAAGGCCCUCUGGGUUGUAAACUUCUGUAGAGAGGGAAGAAUUUUCGCCUUCGGCGAAUUGACGGUACCUCUAAAGUAAGGGUCGGCUAACUACGUGCCAGCAGCCGCGGUAAUACGUAGGACCCAAGCGUUGUCCGGAUUUACUGGGUGUAAAGGGAGCGCAGGCGGAUUAUUAAGUCGAUUGUGAAAUCUUGCGGCUCAACCGCAAAACAGCAGUCGAUACUGAUGAUCUUGAGUGUGGAAGAGAGUGGCGGAAUUCAUGGUGUAGCAGUGAAAUGCGUAGAUAUCAUGAAGAACACCGGUUGCGAAGGCGGCCACUUAGUCCAUUACUGACGCUCAUGCUCGAAAGCGUGGGGAUCAAACAGGAUUAGAUACCCUGGUAGUCCACGCCCUAAACGAUGAAUACUCGGUGUCGGGUCGCAAGAUUCGGCGCCUAAGCAAACGCAUUAAGUAUUCCACCUGGGAAGUACGAUCGCAAGGUUGAAACUCAAAGGAAUUGACGGGGGCCCGCACAAGCAGUGGAGCAUGUGGUUUAAUUCGAUGCAACGCGAAGAACCUUACCUGGGCUUGAAAGGCUAGAUUCUAGACGAUGAAAGUCGUUUACCCGCAAGGGGUCUAGUACAGGUGCUGCAUGGCUGUCGUCAGCUCGUGCCGUGAGGUGUUAGGUUAAGUCCUGCAACGAGCGCAACCCCUACACUUAGUUGCCAUCAGGUAAUGCUGGGCACUCUAAGUGGACUGCCUACGCAAGUAGCGAGGAAGGUGGGGAUGACGUCAAGUCCUCAUGGCCCUUACGCCCAGGGCCACACACGUGCUACAAUGGCCACUACAAAGGGUUGCCAAGGCGCAAGCCGGAGCUAAUCCCAAAAAAGUGGUCUCAGUUCAGAUUGUGGGCUGCAACUCGCCCGCAUGAAGCUGGAAUUGCUAGUAAUCGCAGAUCAGCACGCUGCGGUGAAUACGUUCCCGGGCCUUGUACACACCGCCCGUCAAGCCAUGGGAGCUG
rnacentral:rRNA from 1 species